GUCACCGGAGCUCGACGCCGCCGGCCCUUCCUGCCACCGCUUACCCCCGCCGUCGUUGUCGUCGCUGUAGCCCCCGCCCCGACCCCGACCCCGACCCCGCCCACCGGUUGUCCACCACUGCCCGGCCGGCGGCGCCGCCGCCGCCUUGCCUCACCGCCGCCGGACAGACCUGCCGCCGGCGACCUCCUUCUACAGACGCCGCUCCAUGGAAGCCCCCACCCCCAAACCCCCAAACACUAACCUGCCAUAGGUCGCCGGAGACUUUCCGUGGUGGAGGAAGAUGGCCGGAGCCUCGCCGUGGCCGAGGAAGAUGUGGCUGGAGGGUCCAAUUGCGUGGUGUGGCAGCAGCAGCAAAAAUCGAGUGCUGGGGAGCUUUGAAACACCCGAGCACAAAUUAGCUUUCCCCAAUUAAAAAUGUUGUGCACUCCGUUGAUUGUUCAAAUGAUUGCAGCAUACUUUAAUUGUUCUUGCACUAAUCUUUUCUUUUGAGGGAAUUGUUGGCAAAAUCGAUCUACUCAACUCAAAGCAAUUAAUUGUCUUGAGCACCCUCGAAGAUAAUAACACAAUAAGUACAAUGCAUUAUAUGAGUCGUUUAUACAUGUCUAUCUAGUGCUAUCCCAGUGAGAUAAGGAUCUUAGAUACAAGUUAUUACACAAAGAUACAAUGCGAUAAUAAUGGACUUAGAGUGGGCCCAGGAGCGGACCCAGGCUAGGAUUUGAGCGGGGGCACAGCUUAAGAAAACAUAGAUUCAUAAAGCUCGUACAUGGUGAAAAAAAUAUUAGUUGCCUUUGCUUCAAAAUGUUGAGUGAGGGCCUGUGCCCUGGGCUUAACGUGGGUCCGCCACUGGGCGGGCCGGUCAUCAAUGUGAACUGCUAGCUAGUUUCAUGGAAAUUUCCAGGAGCUAGAGAGCGACGGGGAUGAGGCCUCUUGUGAGAUUCUUGUGAAACAAUUGGCUAGCAGUGCUAGUACUUUUACAGAAGAGGAUGUGUUCAUAUCCAUCCGGUUGAUUGCCCUACUGUACUGUAGUAGCCUCCGACUCUCCCGUCUCUCUCUGAUGCUCGACCCGUUGGCAGUUUCAACACUCCAAAUCAAUCGAAUAAAGGGGAUGAGCCCAUCAACCUGCCAAAGAUUAUUUGGGCGGAGCAAGGUGUUGUAUCUAUCUGAAAUCCGUGGAGGCGCUGAGUCCAGUUGAUCGCAUCAACCCGCCAUAACUCCUGUCAUGACAAACAGCUAGUCGUUUGAGGCAGUCGUCGCGUUCAAAGAAGAAGAGGGAAACGAGUUGCACGGGCGCCUCAAGCAUUCUGAAGUGUAGUUUUCCAGGCCAGUACGAACGAAACAGCAACAGCUCACACGUUUCGGAUUUUUUUUUCUCAACGAACCUUUGAUGCUUUUGACGGGCUAAGGAAAACGGAGAAGAGAGGCCGUGUACGUUCACCGAGUGUCUGAUGAAGGCUCCCUGUGCCAAGUGCCAGUACCUGUGGCAUCGUAAUCGCUGUGAAUGGACAGAACGCAGCGUGGGUAGCAGCGACCGGACGCUAGCUAGCUGAAGCGUCUCUGUUCUGCUGACGCCGGCGUCCCCGCGCCGGUGCGCGCUCCGGGCUCUGCUCGCUCGCGGCUCCGCUAAAAAACGACGCGGCGGAGGACGACUGACAGGCACGGCGGAGCAGCCGGCUCAGCUCGUCGACCGCCGUGGGAGUGUGACUGGACGCACUCGCACCGGUUUGCAUCCUUCUCCUUGGCUGCCUCGCCGAAAGCGGCGUGUGCAUCAGCAGUGUAGUAAUCGCAGCGAACAGAACCUGCAGAGAAAUGCGAGGGUUUCUUUCGACAAUUCGACUUGUGCUGAGCCUGAGCCACUGACAUAGGAAAACGAUCUUGAUGUCGAGAUUCUGUAGCAGCAGUGUGGGCAUCAGUGUCAGUGGCCUGUAUUGUUGAGACUUGAGAGGGUGAGCCACGUGGGAUCGAAAGUAACAUUCCGAUCGAGAUGUCAGCAGUCUGGACCAGCAGAGCAGAGGCUGCUCUCACUGUACCAGCCUACCGUACCGACGUCUGAUGAGACGUGCUGUGGACGGACGCGUCAGCAGAAGCUGGACAAGUCCCCGUCCGAUGACUUCCCAAGGAAACGAAGAUUUCCUACUCCGAUGUCGAGCUGAGCUAGAUGAGCCCGGCGGGCAUGGAGCAAGUGCCAUUGCCAUGCUUGAUGAAGCGGUCAGCUGUAACAUGUAGUAGUGGCGUGAUAACGAAAGAUUUGGCACCGUAAUAACGUGGCGGCCGUGCAGACCGCAUCUCGGGAUUGCUGCUUUGCUCAACGACGUUUCGUUACACGUUGCUCAACAGAAUGGAAUUCGAGCUAACGAGGUAAUAAUCCUGGGCCUCUUUCUUUGGGGUGCCUUCUUGCCGGGCUGGUGGGCUGAGUAGGUCCCUUUUUUUUUUUUGCGUGGCUCCAGAUCUUGGGCCUAUUACCCAGAUUUUGGGGGGGGGAACCUAUUUAGAUAACUUUUUCUGGAAAAAAUGUAUAACUUUUUAAUGAUAAAUUCCAUUUGACCUGAAUUAUUAUUAUUUUUAGUACUGAGCGGGAGAUCUGCUGAUUAUUUAAGAGGAAAAUAAGUCCACAUUACAGCCAGAUUAAUAUUAGAUCCUGAGUUGUCAAUGUGGUCCAACCGUCCAAUUUGCCAUCCUCGCGUGUGCCUGAUGUGGCGUCACGUAUGCUAAAACUGCCAACUGCCAUCUAAACUAGAUUUUUUUUUUGGUUGGGGGGGGGGGGGGGGGGGGGGGGCGGAGGGGAUAUUGCCGGGCUGGGCUGAUUUAGAUGCCCCAUUUGCGCGCGUGGCACACCGAGCUAUUUUCACUGAAGUUAGGUAGGUAGGCCCAAUAGUUUUCUUGGAACGUUUUGAGACUUGUGUACUGUCAAAGUUUUUCGAUAUAAUCCAGCCAAUAAUCCCCAGCUAGCACGUUCUAUACACCAUGAAGGAUCAACGAGAACAAUGUCGUAAGCAUGGCAUCAAGACCAAAGGGCAACCGGGCUGAAGAAGUAAAGCAUUCAUUCGCAGUCGCAGCCAACCGUACCGUAGCGGAAGCGGGGUCGUCGACGUCGAGCUUCCUAGCCGUCGACGUGUCGAUCCCAUGGUCGAUCACACGCCCACGCCCCGCUACGGAUCGCAGCGCGCGCCGCGCUACAGCGUCGACACACGAAGCGGGCCGGCCAGGGCUCCACUUCCACUCGCUCGCCCCGGCCGGCGACGGAUCCUCCCGUCCCGUCGCCGCGAUCGGAAUAUGUCCGCCGGAUCGGCACCCUCCAGCGCCCGCCGAUCCUGUGUCCACCCGUGCGCCUGGUCUCUGCUGCCCGCCCGGUCACCCCCGCCUCCGAUCCUCAGCCUCUACCACCACCACCUCGAGCUAGCGUACACCGUACCCCGCCGCGCCGCACGGCUCGCGGCAUCGUCCCAGCCGUACGUUCCCCCGCCCGGCCCGCCCCGGUCAAAGCAGCGUACGCGCGCCGGGCCGGGGCGAGGCGGCCACGCGCUCGACGGAAUCGCCGGUCGCGCCGUGUACCACAAAAGCGGGGACACCCGUAGCCCGGCGCGGAUCGCCCUGCCGCGGCCCGGAGGCGCCGCUUUAUCUUGCAAUUUGCGUUCCGCCGCCAGGCCUCUGGCCUUGGCCGCGCGCGCAACGCGGGCGGCCGGGCAACUGUGCACGCUACGCUAGGACGCGGGCGGGGAUUUGGCCUAGCCUUCCUCUCCCCGCAGGCGGCAGGCCUACGCUAAGCACCACGACGGCAAGCGGGCAGGGGGGAUCGAGAGAUUCCGGCAGCAGGGGGUGGUGCAGUGCCCUGUCCACUGCCCUAAACCCUCUGGCCUUUGGGGCUCCCUUUUCCCGGGACUGAUGGGCAUUAGUUCCGUUUCGGUGGGUGGUGCUCUAGCUCUAGCUCGUGCAGUCGAUCGUGUGUGCGUCAAGCUUCUUCCGAGCUCCGACCGCCUUUGUUCUCGCGGUGCCCUGGGGGGCCUGGCCUGUCCCUGUCCUUCACCUCUUCUCCCUCCCCCACCAGGCCACCAGCCAGGUACUUCGUGCGUACUACCAGCCUUUGCAUCUGUCUGCCUGCCUCUGCAUGAUUGCUUUCUUUUUUGAGCUAGCGGCGGUCGUUUCUAUAUGGUAAUUUCGGCACCCCGCGCAUUGACAUUGUUCCUUCUUCUCCAGGAGCUACUACCCGGCUAGCUAGCUAAUCGCCUCGCCCUGGAUAUGAUUCGCGUGUCCAAACAGUAGCUAGCUGCAGUGUGUCACCGUACCUGUCUUUUGCUCAACACGGCAAAGUAAACGAUCUCGGCAAGAAGGGAACGUGUGCGAGAUCGAUGCUCUUGCAGGAUUUAGCUAAGCUAUACUACCUACUAUGCGCGUCAUUCACGUUGACGUGUCGACUAAUGAUAGCAGGAUGCUGGAUUCCGCAGCUCCUAAUGGCACGGCAGAUCGAUCAUAUCGAGGACAAACAAAAUGUUCGUUCCUUGAUGAACGAUCAGUUUGCAUAAAUGGAGUUUAUCUGAAACAACACUGCAGAGAAAUCGGCAGCGUCUCAUCGGAAGAUCGGAAUCUGUCACGCAAAAGUUUUAGGUGCCGAUCGAUGAUCGAUAUGUUGGGAUCUCAUCGCUAGAUAACCUUCACGCAAGGCCGUGCAAUAAGCUGCAGAAAUAAAGGGCUAUGCUGCCUAUAUAUACCUAGCUAGCUAAAGGCUCAUAUAUACUAGCAUGUUACCGUCGUACGAGAUCCUUUAGCCGGCUAGCCAUAGAAGCUUACUACGGCUUCAAGUGGAGCAGUAUCAUAUCGAUCGAUCACUGGCUCAUCAUCCUUGAAGAGGAAGAUAUAUGUGUCGAGGCCGGCACUGCAGAGAUAGAUCGAUAGACUGCUAGCUGAUAGAUGGAUGGAUAGCCAUCUAGCCUACUACAUACAGCCUGACAGACAUGAAGUGACCCAAAGGCGAUCGACCACCCGACCAGAUUCCAAUCGCAUUGUCGACUUCAUUACCGAGGUUGUCUUCCCAGCUAGCACACGCGAUCACGACAGUAAUUAGCUGGACUAAUCCAACAGUCCUCUAAUCCUCCUACUAUACCAGGCCUCUGGCCUCUCUAUGUCUUACGUAGCCAUCCAUGCAAACGAUCCUGUCGAGCUGUUUGCUCUAACCAAGCUUCAUCAGUUUGUUAUUAGUCGGUUCAUCACACCAGACGGCACCACCCAAAGAUAGCAAAAGGAAGGCCAUGCAGUUGCCGGGCACUGCCGUCCUCCCUCCCUAUAAAUGUCCAGCGCCAGCAUUCGCCAUGGUUAGGCCAGGCCUAGGCGACUUCCCUUUGACCUUUCUUCUCCCGAACUAGCUACCCUUCAUCAACCCAUACCUCCUCCAUCGGUUCAUAGAUUUGUACUGAUACUAGAUAUCUCCCUCCCAUACUGUGUAACCAACGCCCGCCUGCAUAUAUACCGGCAAGUUACCGCGAUACAUGCUCAGAGAGAUGAUGGUGUUCGAGGAUGCAGCCCGCAUGGUGAUCCCGGAUGGCUUCGGCAUUGUAAGUAGCUUCAACCUUGAGGACUAGCUGUUUCAUUGUUUCUGUUCUUUUUUUUUGUUAUUAGUACAUAUAUAGCUCUUUGAUUUAAUUUAAAAAUUGCAUGUAUGCACCACUUCGUUAGAGUUGUUUUGCUAUGUUUCCUUGCUUGCAUGAUGUGUAUCUGAAUUGCUAGCUGAGCAGUGAGUAUAGCGUGCUGCUAAUAGGAAAAGUAUGGACACUGAAUGAUGCAUUGUAUUGCUUCCUUGAAUCAUACUAUGCUUCCUCAGUAGAUCAUUGUGUCAAGAAAAACCGCUAGUCAAGAUCUUUUUAAUUAUCAACACACAAUAUUCUCUCAGCAGAAUUACUAAACUCUGCAUGAUGUAUUUAGUCUAUUCAUAAAUUCCGUAUACCACAAUUUUCUUAUUGUCAAAUUAAUGACUAAAAGGAGAUCUCGCCCAUGCAAAGUCAUAAAGGCUGGAAGGAAAAUAUAUUUCAUACCUGCUAAAUACUGCGUCAGAUGAGGUCGUCGCACGCCCCGGUCUAUCAGCUUCGAGGAGUGACCGAAUUCGUUGAGACUUCUUUCCAGAAAUAAGCACAGCCUGCGCAAAAAUAGCAUUCUUGCAUUAGACCAUGCAUAUGCAUUUAGGAUAUCCAAUUUUAUGCUGGCUAACUUCUUGGUUAUGUCUUUGUUUCUACCCUGUAUCCCUCCCGACCGCGAUUGUCGCACGGAAAAUUCUGGGUUCUGACUUCUGUGAUGUCGUCGUCCUGGAAAAUAGUCAUGUGCAUCUGCAUGGCCAAGCUGGCUUAUUUUCGGUCCCCCUCUCUUUCAUUAGCCUACCUUCCUCGCACAUAUGCUGAUUCAGAGUUUACCGCCACAAGUAGAACCAUCUCUCUUCUCAAGGAUCAAUGUAACAUUGGAGGAAACUUGUCCAAGAAGCUGUGCACGUACCAAUCUGACUAUCUUCGGUGAAGAUUGACGGUGCCCGCCAUGCUUCCUGACGAUUGCAUCACCGUAAUUGUUUCUCUAUCACAGAUCUUGUUCUGUUUCUUCCUAGGUUUGCGAUGAUGUUCUGUUCUGAAUCUGACCAAACAAUUCAUGCUCAUAGGGUUGUAAUUGAAAUGGCAAUAAGUCAUUUCCUAGGACCAUUGGUAUUUGCCUGCACAUGUAAUGCAUAGUUGUUAGGCGUCUAUAUAAAGCUAAAAGCAUUUAAAUUAUGGUUGAGAUCUUUCAGAUUUGGGCCUGCAGCAUUACCAGAGAAUAAAUGACAUUUUUUCCCUUUUGCUUCUAUAUCUUAGACAAUUUUAUAGCCAAAUCACAUAGAUGCAUCUUACAUUUUAUUUGGACAAGUUCACUUCAAUAAAUAUAGUACAAUUAUUCAGAAAAUUGCACAUGGUUGCAUAUGUCUACAGCUUUUGAUCCUCGCAAAUUGUACAGAAGUAACUGCACUGACAAAAAAAUAGGUAUCCUCUAACAGAAGGUAAUGAUGCACCUAACAUCCACUAUUCUCAUGAUGAGUUUGUAAAGUGUGAUUGUUUCCCCUAGGACAUCCUGUAAGUUAUGAUUCAGUCAGACAUACACAAAUUUAUGGAUUUGCCCCAAGUUUUUUUCCUUGAAAAUUAUAUGGUCUGUGGUUUUGUGGUUCAAUUGUUAGAAGAACACUUGUUUAGCAAGAAGAAACUCACUUUUCUGUCCCCUCUGAAAUUUACAGGAGGGCAUUUCAAGCCCCAUAGCUGCCCAUAUUCUUGACUUCUGUGACGAAGGCCUUGGUGAUGACCUCUUUGCUGCAGUGACUACUACCUCCGACCCAUUUCCAGCCUGCUCUGAUGAUGUUUCAUCGUCUACCACUACCACUCCUCCUGUCUGCAGCUACAGUGAUGAAACUCCAGCUGUUGUACCCACAGCGUACUCCCCAUUGCCCUCCUUCGACUCCACUCUUACGGCCCUCCUUGAGCAAGAGCAACAUGGACUUGAGACCGAGCUCCUUCCCCCGAUCGAUGGGCUUUCAGAAGUAGCAUACUAUCCACAUGCCACCAAUGAGGCCACCAUAGAGCAAUUCAGCCAAAUGGAACUUCCAGGGACAAUUGCAGAACAAGUGCCUCCAAUGCAAAUGAGCACCAGUGCACCUGCCUUGAUGCCAAUCGCUUCAGACUAUGAUGAGUGCUUCACAGCGGCACUAGCUGGAGGGUUCAUGGGUCUGGAUGGAACCAUGUUUCAGCAAGCAGGAGCAAUUCUUACGAACUGCAAUGCAGAGGCACCACAAAGAGGAUUUUUCAGUAGUGCAAGUGAUAGUAGCAAUAGUAUGGCGAUGAUUGGCGAAUAUCAGAAGUUGAUGGAAGGUGACACAGAGUCCAUGCAAGGGGCAUUUAAUAAUGCAGAGAUGCAGGUAACAUUCAGAACCUAGGAGUGCAUUGAGAAUCAUACUGCAAACCACAAUGAUGGUCAGAUAAAAUGACAGGCCAAGUAAUCAGCUGACCAUGCAAAUUGAUUUGGCUUCUUACACAGGUAGGAGGAAAUAAUCAACACCUGACAAAUGGAUGCAAUGGGAACCCAGCAACAUUAACUCCAACAGAGCUAUCAGGCUUGGAGGAUUCGACAUUCAAGGUUGUCCGAUUGUCACCUGAAGAGAGAAAGGAAAAGAUUCAUAGGUACAUCAAGAAACGAAACGAGAGAAAUUUCAGCAAAAAAAUAAAGGUACUAUUGAGCAUUUCAGUACAGCAAUACUUGUGCAUGGACAUCUUACCGUUUCAGCUGUGCUAACACACAACAAAAUAUGCAGUACGCUUGUAGAAAAACCUUGGCAGAUAGCAGGCCCCGUGUCCGCGGAAGGUUUGCAAAGAAUGAUGAACUCUGUGAAGCAGCACAAUCAAGCUCCCACAAUCAUGAACAUUAUGAACAAACUGUAAGUUUUGAAGUAUACGAUAUUGUCUUAUAAGAAAUUACAGUCCAGAUAACGAAAAGAAAUGGUAACUUGGGGAUACUCAUGUGGACUAGUGAUAGAACACAAGAUCGUAGUGAAUGCAGAUAUGAGCUCAUGAAUUAGUCCCUGGUCUAUUUAACUUGAAGAUGCAUGAUUCCUGUUAUGCAGUUUAAUUGUUUUCAAAUGGAAACCUGGUACAAUUCUAUACAGAGUUAACAAGAAUUGUUAUCUUUUUUUUUCAGAACCGUAUGAAAGAAGAAGGCAUGAUGGACACAUCUGAUAUUCUUGCACAUCUAAGUGGGUUAAAUCCCUACAACUACAAGUACAAAUGCACCAUUGAGUCCUGGAUAUGAUUCUCAAGUCUCAGCCAUGCAAACUAAGAACCCAGUGUUUUUGUUUCAAGUUGUGCAACCAUUGAGCACAGUUUUUCCAUUUCCACUAAAAUAAGCCUACAGCAUUAGAAGCUCACUUGCAGGACAAGUACUUAGUUCAAGUUCAAUUUUAAUGUAGAAUUAAUGUAUGUGUAAUCUGCUGUCCCUUGUUUGCCAUUCUCACAUGUGAAUGUGGUAGUUAGUCUCCAAAACAGUGAUUUGUGUAUAUAACUAUGCCCUUUAUAGAAAUAAAGAGUUCCCUGGAUUUCUUGGACACUUCUUUAUUUUCAACUCAUGGCACUACAUUGCUUGAUCGUUUUCUUUUCUUCUUUUUUUGAAACUACAUGUUGCUUGAUUGUAAAUGCAGUAAAAUAUGGAAAUAUGUAACUGGAGAUAUACAAGAUAUUUUAGAGUACUGGAUUUGGUUAACUACAUUCAGCCAUACCUGGUAACUAGAUCAUGCUCCUGGCCACAGAGGCUGAAGGCUCCCAAUCAGCACCCCACCACUUAGCGACCCAUCACUGCACCAAAAAUAAGAAAAGGAAAACCGCACAUAUAGCAUGGCAAUAGAGUUACAGAAAUGUUUAACAUUAUACAGCAUGAGUUAAGUAAGGUUCAAGAUCUUUCUGAUAAGUUCCUGUGUCCAUGCAAUAGUUGUAGACAUUCCAUUUUGUUAGUUUUCUGUUUUCAUUUGAGUUAUCCAAUAGCAAACUGCAGAUUUACAGAAUCGAGCAUCUGCAGCUGGGUGAGGGCAAAAAUUAACAUCUUAAUCAGCCUAUAAAAUUUAAGCAUUAGCACUUCUUGUCAUUUAGGUACCAAAGUGAAAUAGACAAACCACACUGAAAGUCGGCUCUGACUAUUUGAAGCUCUAGUAGUACCACCACACUGGAAAACUCCAUUUCAGCUAAGCUACAAUCAGCGCAAAUUUCCAAACAACAGUCACUGAAACAGCUGACAUACAAAUUUGCAACCCUGGCUGGACACAACUGUACAGUUUCUUCACCAAAACCAGUGUGACAUACAAGAACUAAGAUCAAGGACUCGAUAAAAAACCAUCUCUACAUGAUCUGAUAUAAGCAAAUGUACAGGGACAACAAUUGUGUGCUAAGUCACUAAAAUGCUGUCACCUGGGGCACGGGCACAGCAAGGGAGAGCAAUUCUGAGGCCCCUCGCUCCUCCAAUUCACACCCAUCGUCAUCCAUCUCAUCAAUUACUGGAUCGAACAGUACAACUUGAGGUUCAGAUUUGCCACACCCAAGCAGGACUAAGCUACUCGGCUGCCUGGUGAAGCCGAGGAACCUGACGCAGCGGCCGCGUCCAUAACCCCAGAACUGCCCCCCGACCCAGAGGGCGACCUCGGUGGCGAUGACAGCGACCUUGACGACCACCCCGAGCGCGUCGAUCCCGUUCCUGAAUCCCUUGUGCACCUGGAGCCCGAGGAAGCCCUCGGCGAUCUUUGACGUGUUCUUGGACAGCUUGUAACUCGACUUGAGCACCGCGAGCACCACGACCCCCGCGGGGGACGUCGCGGGGAUGAGCGGCGCGGCGGUGGCGAGUCGGAGGAGCGACGCAGCGGCGAAGGCGGCCUUGAGGCGCUUGGAGGAGGGGAGCUUGGGGAGGCGCGCGGCGGGGCCGAGCGUGCGGGCGGCCUUGUAGGACUUGGACGCGGCCUUGGAGGCGGCGAGGAGCGCGGCGAUCGGGGAGGAGGCGGUGGCGAGGGCCCGCGGCGUCCUGAGCGCGGCGGCGGCGGCGGAGGUGGCGUCGGCCAGCGGCUUGAGCGCGCGGGAGCGGGAGAGGACGACGAGCAGCCGCACCCCGAGCACUACGCCGAGCGCGGAGGUCGCGGCGGCCGCGAGGUGGAGCGCGGGGGGCGGCAUGGCGGCGGCCCUCGUGGGGGCGCGCAGGCCAUAGGAGGCGAGACGGGGUGCGGGAAAAGGGGGCGCGUGGCCCUGGAACUGUGGGAGGGUCGGGAGCCGAGAGGGGAAGGAAAAAAAAAAAAGGUCACGGGCUCACCGAGUGGGGACGAAGAGGAUGGCGAGGGGUGACGUGGAUGCGGCCGCUAUCGCGCGUUGGGCGGCUGCGUCCCCGCGGGAGAGGAUAUGCCAGGCGCGGGGGCGCACCGUCGCCGAUCCCUGCGGGCGCCGGGGCAUAUGCCGUGUGGGCGUGUGGCUAGCUCGGCGUCGCUGUCUCCGGCAGCUCGGCGCCGCGGCCGCGCGGGCAGCACGCGUCGUUGUCUCGUAGAUGAAAGCAGCAGCCCAACGAAAUUCCACCGUGAGAGCGAGGCCGUAACAUCAUGGUGUGAAUUUUGUUUGGACGCCGGUGGACCGCGCGCGGGUGCGAUUAUGCGUCAAAGCUGUCACCUUCUACAGCCGGCCUGCAGCUCGAUUGAUGGGCCGCGUGAUGAUUAUUGCAUCUGCGUGCUCCCGUGGGCCUCCUUCUUGCGCGCUCUCGUGGGCCACGUGCACAGCUCGCUUUUCAUGUGGGCUGCUUAUUGCUCUUUCCUGGGCCGGAAUCACUCCCCCAGCCCGCGCGAAUCCCCUGCUGAGGCGACAGACACCGAAUUUGGCGUGAUUCCAUGGGCUUCAUUACCGGUUGCGCGGUGCUGUUGGGCUCCUGAGCUGGAAUUCCUAUCCCAACACCACCAAACAAACGUGCGGAUGGACAAGAACAAAGGAGCUGUUCGCUCUUGCUCUCCAGAGAAAAAGCCGUUCACUCGAUGCAGAUAGACUGAUGAUAGAGGGAGACAUUGACGAAAACGUCCGUCCAACUGCAGGCAUCGAUUCCUGGUGGGGAGAAGAAACUGUAGGCAUAUGGCCAGUACACGUGUAUGAUCCCGACGUACUGAUCGCAAGUGUUCAUCCAGUGGAUCAAAUGAUCAUGAUUUAGUGGGUUACAAGAAACCAAUCGCUAGGGAACAUGCGAUCGAGUUGGCCAAGUGUCAGCGCGUUCAGAUACACAAAACCGCAGCUCUCUGAUGGAUACCGUACUGGUUCUGGCGCCGACUGUUAAGUUCGAACGUCCAUGUAGCAGGAACGAGCAUACAAUGGACUGAACAGAGGUUGCACUCCUCCUAAAGCCACGGAAACUCCUCCAUCCGCCAUGAUCGAGUCUGCACGGUCCAGAAUUUUUUGCUUCGUGGCCGAGGGAAGAGAGCACCUCUGAUCUGUCCCUGAACCGAGACCGAAAUGCAUCACAGGUCACGGUGAGCACGGUUGCGUAGAGCGGCCGGGCAAGCGACCCUCCCGAAAAGGCCGGCGGAUACAACAUUUCUUUCCGAUACCUAACGAUGGCACGCUACGUGCUCGGCACACAAACGCUCAAGUACUGGUGGUAUUCGACGAGCGGAAGGUCAGUGGCAGCAUGCCGUACUUGCAAACCACUUUUUAGGCAGCCCAAGUGAAGUGCAGAGCUGGACAUGUACGUGACUACGGAUGCUUUGCUUGGUCUUCAGCGUUCCAUGCGUGUACGUGACGGAGAUGAUUGGCCUGAUAAAGUAUCCUCAUCCACAUGCUGAGUACUGUCAGUUGGCAGUGGUUAUGGUAUCUUAUUACGUAUUUGCAUUCGAGUCGUGGAACAAAAGCACUUCUCCCGGUACUCUUGUCUUUGACCAGCUUGCAAGCAACCUCUCUCCCUUCAGUUUCUUAUACAGAUCUCUGCAGCUGGAGGCCGGAGCACCAUCGAUGGUGCUUGUAUUGUAUCUUAUGGCGAGUUCGUCUUGCCGUCUCCCAAGGAGGAUGUCAGGCCGGCAAUGGAGACCACUGACCAGCGAUGAUGCCGGCGACCGUGAUAACACAAUAUGGGUCUACCUGAUUCAUGUUUUCUUUUUCUUUUUUGUCUGAAACUGAACGAGAUCACACAGCCACAUGGUAUGGGCGUAACACCGUUCUUCCGGCCUGUUCCUGCUUGACAUGCAUUAUCCUUUCGCCGGAAAUCAUGGAUUCAUUCAUGACGACGAUCACAGUAAACACGGACGGCGACUGAUGGCGGUGGACGCCGGAGAGCUUUCCCGGUUGUUCGGUUCAUGGCGCCAUUCCGUUUGACCAGAAAAGGACACUGCAGUUGAGGCAGAAGCCCCGAGCAAGCAAGGUACCGUGAUGCAACGAUUUGUCGGCGAGAUUAUACAUGAUGAUGAUACUCAUGUCGCGGUCGCAUCUCACUCGGAUUUGGUCGCUUGCCAAUGUUUGAAACCGCACGCGGCUGUUCAAUUUGGUUGCUCCAAUCCAACAGCAAUGAAGAAAACGAAGGGAAAAUGCGACGGCUCACGAGUGACGUGGGCAUGCGGAUUAUUAGGGCUUUACCUAACACGAGCCCCAGGUGCGGCGGCGAUGCCAUCGAGUACCGAGGAUUUUGGCGUCUACUGUGCACCACCAGAUUAGGCCAUCUGCUGAACCCUGAAGGCUAUUCACAUGAGUGUUCAGUAAUCUUUUUUUUGCCAAGGAUGAGUGUUCAGAAAUCAGAUCAGAAUAAAAAGCUUAGGAUCUGUACACGCUAGAGCUGACAUUACCAUACUGCGCUUCUUCUUUUUCGUCUUAUAUAUAGGAGUAAACGGGAACCUGGUGUAGCACCAAUCUUGCACCUAGUAAAAGUUGACUUGCACUGGUUAUUACUGCUGUCUGGUGACUCUGAAUGGCUCCUUCGUCGGCACGUCGUGUCGCCCUCGCCCGUCGCUUUGAUCCAUCUUCCACUUGAGGGUGGUGAGAUGGAUCGUCCACUUACCUCAGUCAUCAGCAACAGAGAUCGUGGCUGUCAAAUAAAACCAGACAUCUUUGCAUUGUGGUCAAUUUGGAGCCAGGUUACUGAAUUGCCGGUCGCUGUCUGCACCACGGCGACGACGCACUGUCCCGUUCCUUCGUCACGCGGCGCCUCCUGUAGUUGUGCGAGACGUUGCCUGGCCAACUCCCGUUGGGACAUGAGAGAUUGCUGGACGCCACGGCAUGGCACGUCCUGCCUGCAGGCUGGACUGGAGCGUGUCCGUUUGAAUCCAUUUUGGUCAGGGUUGCGUUACCUCUUUUUUUCAAAAAGAAGUAGAUGAUUCAUUGAUUCGCAACCAGGAAAAAACAACACGGAAGAAAGGUUUGACCCACUCUUGGUGCGUUACCACACGUCACAGGUCGUUAAGGUCUCGCCCCAUUCAAGUCAGUGGAUCCACGUCCUGUCAUUCUCCAAUCUCCAUUGUUCUCCUUUGAAAAUUUGUUAUUUUGGGGAUUAAAUAACCAUAUCCAAAGACAAUCCUCCAUGACAAAAUCGUAUUUGCACAGCGCAGAGCGCACAGAGCAUUCAUUCAAAAAAGUUCUGGACAAAUUCAAAUAAGAGUCCCGGUCAUGCUGGUACUUGCACUGCACACAGCACUUGCAGCAACAGUCUGAACCACCCAAGUACCAUCUGGCCGGGCCGGUUCAACGCUCGCUCCUCUGAAGAAUUCAAACCUCUCUCCAGGUCUACCAGAACGUACGUGCACGCCUCGUUCGUUCGUUUCUUCCCCCUUCAGUUUCACCGAAGACUCCCAGUCGCCACCGGCUAGCCUGGGCCGGUCAAGCCAAGCCAACGUGUGCUCUCGAUCCCUCCACGAGCGUGUCAUCUUCCUCGCAUCGCAUGGUGCGGCACGGCACGGUGAAAACGCGAAGAAACGGGGCGAAAGGGAACAAAAACCUGGGCGCAUAGCAUAGCAUAGGCCGGGCUGUGCUGGUUGGGCAACAGCUGCGAGGCCGGUCCCGGCCGGGAAGUGGCCGUUAGUGCAGUGGUGGGCGCCUCGAGGCCGACGAAUAGACUGGGGCGGUGUGACUAGACGCACACGUCGCCCUCUUCUCCUAUCAUCCACUUAUCUUCCAAGAUCGUUUCCUGCGUUGCGUCCGUGGACUGAUUGGCCGCACCGCACCACAGUUUAAAAUCUGUAAUACUUGUACUGUUCCAGAAGGACUGGCAGGUCAAGCCAGUGACGUCCAUACGGCAAUGUCCUUUGCGCUUCACAUGCACGAACUCUGAGAUUUUCUCCUAUUUCACGUUGAUUUUCGGAGCACAAAUGGUACCAGUUUUCAGAACGAAAUUGCAAGGGCGAGCGCUGAAGAAGUGGAAAUCGAAAGCAAGUGCCAGCACCAUGACAAAAAGGAACAACUUUCGCUGCCAAAACCUUGCAAGGGUCCAAAACGCAAAACAAGCGGCCUCCCCUCCACCUUUCCCCAUGGCUCUCGCCCGCUCGUGACACCACGACCCCUCCGUCUCCUGUCCUUGUCCGCUUCCACUGCCUGCCGGCCCCCUCCACUACCCCGAGUCCAAGCCGCAACGUUCGGUCACGAGCACGAUGCAGCGGAAGCCCCCCACCGUCGUCAGCCGAGCCGAGCGCUAUCCCAUUCCAAUUCCAACCGCUCCGACCCCGAGUGGGGAACGGGGAAUAGAUCCUCCGCGACGGGCACAGCUUCCACUGCAGAAUUUAGAACCUAUCCCACCCCUCGCAGCACGCAAUCAACCAACGAUACACACUCGAUCACGCGUGCCGAGAACUGAACCCCGGAGAAAUCAGCGCCAAAGCCUUCAUUUUUUUAGUGCCGCAAAGCCACUUCUCGGCCGCCGCUGCGGGCUAUCAGUUGCAUAGCAUAGUUUAGAUUAGCCUCCCCACCUUCACAUGCUCCGCGUCUCUCCCACGGCAAUCCCGGCCAAUCUCGCCCUCCAGAUUAGCCGAUUUCCAGGGCUCCGAUCCUGCGGUUCGGUAACGCCCCUUGCUGACGACGCUCUCUGCUUUCCCUUGGCCUGCCAUAACUCGCUGCUGCCGUUCGCGACCAGCCAUUAAUGGCGAGGGGGAGUUACGACUCGCUCUGAACCUCUCUCUUUCUGUCUGAUCCGGCGGGCGUUCCGUCCCUUUUCCUCGGCCGGUUGUUUCUUAGCUUGCAUGCGUAGGCGCAGGCAGCCGGGCAUGGAAGGAAACUGUAGCGCCAGUGACGCGUUGUCGAGAGGGUCUACUCCGUCUCCAAAGCCUUCGCCGUCGUGUUAAUGGAAAGAGACGAGUGUUGCGAGGAGUAAAGGCGGCAGCUUUUCCCUUAUUUUCUCUUCCGUUCUGGAAGAAGUCAAGCCGCCUCCCCUCUCGUCUCGUAUCCGUCCUCGUCUUCUCUUCCCUGGCCGGCCAUCGAGCUUCCGCCUGGGCUCACCGUUUGCCCCUCCAUCUCCUUGCUCGUUUUGGGGUGCUGUUAGGCGGAGAAAAGCUGAGCGCUUUGUCUCUUCCGCUCUGUUCUAGCAAGUGGCAGUGUCCUGCCUCGGCUUGAUGCUCCUGUUGGUCGUUCCCGUUGAGAGCGGCUUGGUUUUAGUAGGUCCUGGGUCCUCUUUCACCUAAUCUUGUUUCUAGUUUCGGUUGGUGAGUCAUCGGCUAGCUCUUGUUGGUUAGCCCAGUUCUUCUUGGACUGGAGUAUAUAAUCUCCCGGCCGUCUUCUUCUUCUUCUGUUCUUGUGUGCUCUUCACAUUGGCCCAUCAGUCUCCCUGCUCCUUCCAAGGCGAACUCUGCUCGGAUCAAGAAGAGGAGAGCUCCUCUGUGCUGGGAGGUUGGGAGGCAGUGCUUUCCUUCCGGCGAGCCUUGGAUGCUGCCUGUCGAUCUUUGAGCUUUAGGUGAGGAAUCCGAUGCCUGCUCCAUUUCUCUUCUCCACCUUUUGACUAAAACUAUGCAAUCUUUAGCUUGUUUUAUUGAGCUUCGGUUACUGUUGUCAAUUAGGGGUGUUUAAUUCGUGGGUUUGCUUCUUGCUUUGAGAGAGGAAAGAUGGCUGCAACUUUCUUGUUUUUUUUUUGGUGCUGUAAUUGUUACCCAUAGGCUUUCCUUUGCUGUCGUGUUAAAGGCAGCAACGUGCAACAAAGUAAUUUUCCGGUGAACCUGGCCGUGCUUUACGCCGGUGAUGAAUGCAUUUAAGGUCAUCCUUUUUCAGUUGGGCUUUACCACUCUUUUGCCGCGUGGGCGCGGAUGCAACUUUUGUUUUUAGUGCCACUUUUUUUUUUCCUGCGAUUGAAGACUCCUGCUGAUCUCUUUCAUCCUAGUAAGUCUCGGUUUCAGAGGAUCGGUGGUUUGUAAUUUGAGGUUUCUGAACAUAGUUCCCGCGCUUGUACCUUUCUCUGGUCAUCUACUCAUCUCCUAAUGCUGCAGAGCAGAGAUGAAGAGAAUGAGCCCAUGUCUCAAUACACUGUCCUUCCUAGUUCAGAAUGCGUUUGCAAGUAGCACCAGAGCUUCCCUGACACCUGACCCACUGCUUUCAUAGGAGAUGCCGAGACGGCAGUGAAUUAGUUAUUAUCAGCCUUGCAGUCUAAGCUACCAAGUACAGUUAGUAGUACUGAGUACUGACACCUUCUGUUAAUACGGACAGGCAAAACCUUAGAUGCCUUAUUGGUGGAUGGAGUGUACCCCAUGAAUCACACGAAGGCAGUGUUGAUGUGUGGUGUAACUGCCAUUUAUAAGGUGCUUACUGCUUAGUACUACUCGAGAGGAGUUAAUGUGCCGAGGACAGAGGUUAGAUACUUCCAUUAGGAGGAAGUAAGUUUUAUCUUGUGGUUACUGCUUACUACUGCUUACUAUUGAUUCCAAGCAUUCCCUUCGAGCACUUCUGCACCACUCCUGGGUAUACCUGCCUCUAGCUUUAUUUUGAGCAGAGGAUGUUCCGUAAGAAAAUUGAGUACAUCGAAGACAUCACAUGGGCACUUCUCUGGUAGCUGUUAAUCAUUUGUAAUUUUUUUAUCUGAUUUAAUUGGUCAACCAUGAAAUCAUGCUCUCCAUGUUGCUUGCUGUGUGAUCAUGCUACAUGUUCCUUGCUUCAUUGUAUGAUGACACUGCAGAUUUUGAUACCUUUUCCAAUAAAUUAUCUUUUUUCUUCAUGCGCUAUAUAUACAAGAAAGACAUUGUCUCUAUUUUCGGUUAUUUCUGUUGUAGGUUAAAAUUUAGAAAAGCCUGUCCCUGUCUUCAGAGACAGCCAACCAGGAUUUCUGUAAUUUUUAAAACAUAUUUUGCCAAUCACAUUUCCUUUUUUGUGGGCUGAACAUGUUCUUACGUUAUUUCUGUGCAGGUGAUUAAAGACUUGUUUGACUGCAUUCUCCAUAUCUUUUAGUUCUUGAGCAGAGAUGGAACUUGUAUACAUGGAUAGGAGAAAUGGAUUACAUGAUGAGGGUGCAAUUCCAGAGUUCAGUGGAAGGGCAGAAGAAGACCAAGACCUGACUAUUGCUGCAUCUGAGGUUCAGCCUGAUUUGAGUCAGAUAAACAACAAGAAGCCAUUGACGUCAGAUGAGAAGAAAAGCAAGAGCUGCCAGUCAUGCCACAAGUCACCAUGUUUGUGCUGUGGUGACGCACACCAUGCGGAUUUGUUCCCUGCACUUCCUGCCAAGAUGAUGAUCUUGGAGUUUCUCAUCAGAAGCCUGAGGCACCCAACAAGAACCCAUAAUGUCACUGAUCUUGACGACUUGAUCACUGAUGGGGUCAGCCAAGGAAGUGUAAAUCUUGGCCCUUCCGAGAAAAAGGUGCUGGACUCUUUGCACGCUCUUGUAAAUGCAAAGACAAGACCGAAAAGCCCAUCGCCUUUCCUGGCAGGAUCAAAAAUGAGAAAAACUCGGUCAAAAUCCCACAUUAUUACACAGUCAGAAAUACUGAAGCUUAUAUCUCCUGAGACAUGGGAAACCUCCUCCCCUGGGACAUCUCCAAUGAAUAAAGGCACAGCUGAGGUCCACAUCCAUGAGAAGACGUCACCCUCAUGCUCGCAUAUGACAUCUAUGAGCUCAAAUCAGCCUGUCCUAUCACACUGCCCAUCAUCUCUUAGUGCAGGCCUUCUACAAUGCAUUUGGAAGGAUGGGCUGCCUCAUUUUGAAUUGUCACUGGACGAUCCCAUUGCAGUAUACACUGCAAACCCAAUCAAGGUACAGGACAAUGACAGGGCCCUUGACUAUGUCUACAUGAUCCAUUCUGGAGAGCAAGGAAGAAAAGAUUGGAUGGGCCACUCAAGCAAUGUGUCCAGACUUGUGGGCAAGAUCAAGGUGUCAAGUUCUUUAGUGCUAAACUCAGACAAGUCAAGUCUUUUGGAAACUGAGUUUGUGCUGUAUGGUUCUCCAGAUGACUAUCUGAGGCAAAUGCAUAGUUCCUAUAGUGUUCCAAAAGGAAAGGGACUAGUCAAGAGAGUGACAGAAAUUAUGAGAACAGGACAUGUUUCCUCUAGUCCUAAACAUCCCUGGAAGUUUGGCAAAUCCUUCUCUCAUCAGUUCGACGACUUAACUGAAAUACUCGAAGGUGAAAUGAUCAGUGCUAGAGAAUCGGGCCUGACAAACCUCGACGCUGAGGAUCAACCGACCAACCAAGAGUUGGCAGCAAUUGUGGUCAAGGAACAACGACAAAAACGCCAGAAAGAGCCUGUGGUCGGUGGCUGGGGCUUGAAGUUCCUUGAGAAAGCAGGAUUAAAUCAUUCAGAAGGCACUGAAGUUUCUGAUGUUCAGAACAGAAAUGGUGCUGCAAAAUGUAUAACUGCCAUUGUUCCCAGAGGUUAUCACGGCGGCGCUGUUUCGAAGUGCAGUGGCCCAUCAGGUCUCAUUGAGAGAUGGAGAUCUGGAGGAUGCUGUGAUUGCGGUGGAUGGGAUCUUGGCUGCCCCAUCAGAGUGCUGAACAAUGAUGGAUGUGCCUCCUUCCCUGAAGAAGAGUCACAGGAGAGCAGAGCAGUAGAGUUGUCAAUCAAGGUAACUAACCCUGGGCUUAUUUGCAGUAGAAUUACAUGGUUUGAAUCAGAUAUCAGAAAUCAGAAUUUCUGCUAGGUCAUAUUUGCGGUUUUGUUUAUUAUUCAGGUUUUGAUGCACUAGAAUGCCUUCAGAUUCUCAUCUAUCUUACCAUUAAUUUUCAGGGCGCGAGGAAGCAGACAAUGUUAAGGCUUGUCAACAUCACGGAGGACCUGUACAUCUUGUACUUCGAUUCGGGUCUUUCACCAUUGCAAUGCUUCUCAACGGGGAUAGCAAUUGUGCACAGCCAAGCACCACAGCUAUGCCCAAAACUGUGAAUGGCAAAGCUUGGUAUAGCACUAUGAAGAUGUAAAUAGAUAAGUAGAGAUAGAAAUAUUCCACAUUUAUACAGUAGAUUCGUUGACUCAAUCCAUGCCAAGAUGACAACGGUGAUGUGUGAAAACUAUGCCAUGUGUAUUCCACAUUUACUAACUAUUAAAUCAAGAUGGAUUUGUGGCAAGGGAGGUUAUUUGUCCUGUUAGAAAAUUUCUUAGAUUUUUAUUUUUAAAAAAUCUUAUUUUUUUCACAAACGUGAAAGUACUUGUAACAUUCCGCUUGUGUUCCUCGCUGCUGACACCGGAUUUGCGCUACAAACUUAAACGCUGCAAAUGAAUCCAAAAACAUCCCUAAAGCAGACACUAGCAAGAAAAUGGAGCAGCAAAUUAAGAUCUAACAGACUAUACUACCCUGAGCAAGCAGUACGCCAGUAGAACAUGUUGGUAGCACGAUUUGAUUGGCAAGUGGCCUAGUGUUCCAGGUAAAAGAAACUUGGGGGUCCCAAAUCCUUAUUUAUUCGAGUCAUGUGUCAUUGCAUCAUCAGGCGUCUGCAGUAGAAAGAAUAGCGUGGAUCAAUUAGGCAAGUUUACCUAUUGGCCAAACACGGUGGGGGAAAAAAAGGUGGCAGGACACUCAUGAUAACAUUGCAAUUGCCACUAGGGAAAUGCAUUUUUCUUGCCAUUAAAAUGUGAAUAACACACUGCCAUUAUAUAGACUGACAGCAGAGCCAGGUAAGAAAAAUAAAAUAAAACAACUAUAUGAUAUUCAUCCAUCUUGCAAUUGUUAAGAUAUGCACCCGUAUCCUGGUGUUGAGAACGGAUAGGUUUAGGCUCCGGUUUGUUGUAGAUUAGAUUUGGUUGUUGUAUAUCUUAGCUUGUAAGUCACACUUGUAAUCUACUUCUUGUACAAGUUGUAAACGCCAUGCUAGGGGCUAUUCCUAGCUAUAUAAACACGGAGCCGAGAACCUGAGAAGGUAUCUCGUUACACCAAAGUUUUACAUGAUAAUCAGAGCUCGGUUUCUUGCCGACUUGAUCCAUGGGAACUUUAGGUUCCUCCGCAUCUGCUGCUGUUCCUUCUCUAGGCUAUCCGGUGACCGAGAAGCUGGCGCGGAAUAAUCAUCCGCUCUGGAAGGCUCAAGUCCAGUCAGCCCUCAAGGGUGCGCAGGUGGCACACUUCCUCGGCUCCACGACGGAGAUCCCACCGAAGAUCGUCGCCAGGGCCGCUGAGAAGCCUCAUGAUCAUGAAAGGAUCUUGUGAUGCCUGGGAGAAGGGGGGUUGAAUAGGUUCACUUUAAAAUUUCUGAAAAACUUCGUAUCGGUAGUAGAUACGUCGGAACUUCCGACACUGUGCCGAAAUUUCCGACAGGGUCGGAAAUUCCGGUACAAGUGCGGAACUUCUGACAGCAAGUAAACUGAACAAAAUUCAAAUUUAAACAAGUUUCAGCAGAAUCUAUUUGAAUCAAAAGUUCAACAAUGAUGUAUAGAGACUACUGCGGGUGAUCUUUAUGAGAGAAAUUUCACAAGAAUAUAGAUCAGCACAAAUCAAGCUCUAGGUCAACAAGAACUUGAAGAACACAACAAGCACACGAGACAAAGGAUUUGUUUACCGAAGUUCACUCCCACAAAGGAAGCUACGUCUCCGUUGAGGAGCUCACAAAGAACCGGGUCCUUACUAACACUUUACCCCUCUCAAUCAAUCACAAAGGAGGAUUGAGUCACUUACUAUGAAUCCUCCAAGAGGAUGGGCAAUACAAACUUCCCCGGGCGUACCACAACAAGAGGGCGCUCAAACGGGCGACACCGAACCGUCUAGAAGCAAGCUUCAAGAGUAAUAAAUGUGAAUCGAAGACGGAAGAUGCUUCAAGUGCUCUUGAGAUGAACUUGGUUGACCUCAUACUCAAAACUAGAGCCAUACACCUCAAAUCCUUCUCUCACCCAAGCCUAGCUCAAAACUCUUAAGGAUUUAGCUCAAGGAGGGAGUGGGGAGGAGUAUUGAAUGCUCUUGGAGGUGUUUGUCUCGGGUUAAGUCAGCAGCAAAUGAAGAGGGGGCUGAGGGGGUAUAAAUACUUGAGCCCCAAAAACUAGCCGUUGUUGUGUUGUUAAUGUAUCUGUCGGAACUUCCGACAUAAUUAAAUGAAAUCUGUUGAGCACCCCCUAUUGGAAGUUUCUGAAAACAUACGACAGGUGUUGGAACUUCCGACACUCGCAGAAACUAUGAGAAAUAAAAUGUGCAAGUGUGUGAUUAAGGUAUCUCUCAUGGGCAGAUAGCAUCUUAAGUAAGCACUUCGACAUCUUCAAGCCAUCUAGCCGCGUCCCCUUUUGUAGUAUGGUGUUCCUAUACUCAAAUUCAAAAAUAGAAAGUAAUAAAUCGAUUUUCUUUUAUGCUUGAAUACCUUUCCACAAGAAGAUAGGGGUCCUUUCUUACACAUUUGCACUUCUAUAGAUUUGAACCUGUCAAUUUCUCAAUAAAAUCGUUAGUCCCUUAACUAUGCAUGUCAUCAAUACGGAAACCCACUUAGGGGGCCAAAUGCACUUUCAAUGAUCAAGUGUCCAACCCCGACUACGAGGCCUGGGUGGCGAAGGACCAGCAGAUACUCAACUAUAUGUUGUCCUCGCUAUCCCGGGACAUCCUUGCUUCUGUUGCGAUGCUUCCGACGGCUGCUGCGGUCUAGGAGGCAAUCGAGGGGAUGUUCGCAUCCCAAUCGCGUGCGCGGGUGAUCAACACUGGCAUGGCCCUAGCCACUGCGCAGAAGGGAAACUCCUCCAUUGCUGAAUACUUCAGCAAGAUGAGAAGCCUAGCAGAUGAGAUGGCAUCUGCCGGGAAGAAGCUCGAAGAUGAAGAAGUCAUCUCGUACAUUCUCUCGGGACUCGACAUCAAGUACAAUUUGUUCGUGUUAGCAAUCGCGGCCAGGAUUGAGCCCAUCUCCCUUGGUGAGUUAUACACCCAGCUUUCAACUUUUGAGCAACGGUGUGCAUUGCUUUUGGGACAUGGCUCAGGAUCUUCUGCCAAUCUGGCUUCGCGCGGUGGUCGUGAGUCUGGAAACAAUCGUGAGCGCGGUCGCGGUGGACACGGCCGUGGUCGUGAUGCUGGAGGACGUCAAGGCUCAGAUUCAUCUGAACGCCCUACUUGCCAGCUAUGCGGGAAGGAGGGCCACACCGUGUUGUGUUGCUACAAGCGCUUUGAUGCUUCCUUCCAGGGACCAGCAGAUGGCAAGUCCACCUCUUUUGCCACGACAAACUCCUACGGCAUCGACACGAACUGGUAUUCUGACUCCGGUUCAACUGACCACAUCACGAGCGACUUGGAGAAGCUGACCAUGAGGGACAAGUACCAUGGUGGUGAUCAAGUGCACACCACAAUGGAUCAGGUAUGGAGAUAGAUCAAAUUGGUCGCAGCUAUGUUAUCUUUUUCUUAAUAAUCUUCUUUGUGUCCCUCAAGCCAGCAAAAAUCUUCUUUCUAUUCAUAAACUUGCUCGUGAUAAUGAUGCAUUCUUUGAAUUUCAUCCAUCUUAUUUUUUUGAUUAAGACGGUUCUGCGUAGAGGUCGUUGUGAGCGAGGUCUCUAUCCUUUGAAGUCGUUUCCAAAUAAACAAGCCCAUGGUGUCACCAAGUUUCCUUCAUCCCGGUGGCAUUAUCGUCUUGGGCAUCCUUCAUCAUCCGUUGUCCAUCAGGUCCUCAGCAAGAACAAGCUUCCUUUUAUUCAAGAGUCCAAUAAAGAGUCCGUUUGCGAUGCUUGCCAGAAAGGCAAGAGCCACCAACUUCCAUAUCCGAGAUCUGCAAGUUUGUCGAGUGCCCCUCUAGACCUAGUUUUCUCUGAUGUAUGGGGUCCGGCCCCAAUUUCUGUUGGCAAGAACAAUUUUUAUGUUAGCUUCAUUGAUGAUUUUAAUUUUUUGACUGAAGUCAGCAGGGGAAGCCCCUACCUAUUUUUUUAUAAUUUUUUAUUCCAGACCCGUUUAAUCGCUCCCACGGGGAGUCGAACGUGAGCCUGCUGGGUGCUACUGAGGUGCUAUAACUACUAGGCUAGAAGCCCUUUCACAUGAUUUUAGUAAAUUUACAUGGAAUUAUUUACUUCAUCACAAAUCUGAAGUGUUUCAGCGUUUCCACGAUUUUCAACAUCUUAUUGAGCGCAUGUUUAAUCGAAAAAUAGUUGCAAUGCAAGCCAAUUGGGGUGGGGAAUACCAAAAACUCAACUCCUUUUUCCAAUGCAUUGGCAUCUCUCACCAUGUCUCCUGCCCGUAUGCUCAUCAACAAAAUAGCUCUGCUGAACGCAAAUAUUGACAUAUUGUCGAAGUGGGUCUAUCUCUCUUAGCUCACGUAUCAAUGCCGCUGAAAUUCUGGGACGAAGCACUCAUCACUGCCACCUAUCUUAUUAAUCGACUUCCUAGCAAAGUCACAUCCAAUCAAACGCCUCUUGAACCCCUUUGUCAACAGAAACUAGAUUAUUCUGUCUUGCGCACCUUUGGUUGUGUGUGUUGGCCCAAUUUGCGCCCCUACAAUUCUCGGAAGCUUCAGUUUAGAUCAAAACAAUGUGUCUUUUUAGGAUAUAGCAACAUGCAUAAAGGGUUUAAAUGCUUGGAUGUUUCUAAAGGGUGUGUUUACAUCUCUCGCGAUGUCAUUUUUGAUGAGACUGUUUUCCCUUUUGCAUCAUUACAUCCUAACGUUGGAGCUCGUCUACGAUCGGAGAUUCUAUUACUUCCGGAUCAUCUUCAAAAUCCAUCUUCAAAAUCCAUCUUUUGGGGGUUCAAACUGUGACUCAAUUUUUCUCUCAUCUCCUACCUCUAACAUUGUAAAUGAGUCUAUAGGAGUACUUGACAAUUCUAUAGAUGCAAUGUCGCCGGAUUCUGCUAAAAAUUCCGGCUAGAAUCAUAUUUUAUGCUCCAGGGAGCAGCUCCUGCCGCGCAACACGAGGCUCCGUCUGAUUUGGGAUUCACGUCGCAGACUGCUGUCCAGGGGACGGAUGGAUCUGGCUCUGUCUCCUCCCCUUCGCUUGUAGCUAGUGGGCUGUUGGCUCCGGGUGCCCCCGCCUCCAACCAACCGCCCCUAGCGUCAACACCUAGCACAACAACAACCACGACCUCACGUGGUAGCUUCGUUGCGGCUCGUGCGGCCACGUCGCGUUCGUCGGUUAGCGGAACGCUGUCCCGGGUGGAUCCAGCUGCCCCGCACGGGCCACCGGCCGACCAGGUGAUCUUGGAUCCUGCGCCGCCCAGAUCUACUUCGACCUCUGCACCCGGAUCUUCUGUGCCCUCUGCCUCACCAGCUACUCCACAACUACGACGCCCUACUAAACGUCUAUCUCAAGGUAUUCAUAAACCUAAAAUUAUACCGAUGGCACUACUAGCUAUGCACAAUUGGCUGUUGUCUCUGAUGAACCUACCAACCUGCAUGAUGCCCUGUCUAAUGUUAAUUGGAAAUCUGCUAUGGAUGCUGAAUUCUCUGCCCUUCUCAAGAAUAAGACUUGGCAUCUUGUCCCUCCUCAUCGUGGCAAGAACGUCAUUGAUUGUAAGUGGGUUUAUAAGGUCAGGAAGAAAGCUGAUACUUCCAUUGAUCGCUAUAAGGCAUGGCUGGUUGCCAAAGGCUUUAAGCAGCGGUAUGGUAUUGAUUAUGAGGACACAUUUAGUCCUGUGGUCAAGGCAGCAACCAUUCGUCUUGUGUUAUCUCUUGCAGUCUCCAAGGGAUGGUUUCUUCGAUAAUUAGACGUGCAGAAUGCUUUCCUUCAUGGUGUUCUUGAGGAAGAGGUCUACAUGUGUCAACCUCCGAGUUAUGUUGAUUCCAGUGCUCCUCGUUUCAUUUGCAAAUUGGACAAAGCUCUCUAUGGUCUCAAACAGGCUCCACAGGCCUGGUACUCUUGUUUGAGCCACAAGCUUCACUCCUUGGGUUUUGUUUCCUCCAAGGCCGACACAUCUCUUUUUUAUUAUAGCAAGGGCGUGCAUACAAUUGUUGCUAGCUCCUCCAAGGAUCUUGCCACCGCUCUUCUUCGUGACCUUGAGCAAGAGUUUGCCAUCAAAGACUUAAGUGAUCUUCAUUACUUCCUUGGGAUAGAAGUCAAGAGAUCACAGGGGGCACUACUGCUCACUCAGGAACGGUAUGCUAUUACCAUCUUAGAGCGUGUUGGUAUGGAGAUGGGUAAACCCAUUAGUGCUCUCUGUCAAGGAAGGUGACUUGCUUGGGCCUGAUGACUCGACAAAAUACAUGAGCAUUGUUGGCGCCCUCCAAUAUCUAACCUUAACACGACUUAAUCUUUCUUUUGCUAUCAAUAAAGUGUGUCAAUUCCUACACUCACCUACAACCCUGCAUUGGGCAGCAGUCAAGCGCAUCAUCAAAUAUGUUAAGGGGACACUUUAGUUAGGUCUGAAAAUUGGCAGGUGUCCGUCUAUGAUGGUGCAUUCUCUGAUGCAGAUUGGGCAGGUUAUCCUGAUGACAGGAGAUCUACAGGUGGCUUUGCAGUUUUUAUUGGCAGCAAUCUGAUUUCAUGGAGUGCCAGGAAGCAAGCAACGGUGUCUUGUUCAAGCACAAAGGCUGAGUAUAAGGCCAUGGCAAAUGCCACGGCUGAGAUAAUGUGGGUACACAAGUUGCUUGAUGAGAUGGGAAUCUCACAUCCUAAAGCAGCUCGGUUGUGGUGUGAUAACAUUGGAGCUAAGUACCUUUCUGAAAAUCCAAUGUUUCAUGCCCGUACAAAACAUAUAGAAAUUGAUUUUCAUUUUGUCAGAGAACAAGUCAAUGUGAAGCAAUUGGAUGUCAGGUUCAUUAGCUCUGCUGAUCAAGUAGCUGAUGGUUUCACUAAACCACUUCCUACACGGCAAUUGGCACAGUUCAGAAACAAUCUCAACUUGCAUACACAGUUGUGAUUGACAGGGGGUGUUAAGAUAUGCACUCAUAUCCUGGUGUUGAGAACGGAUAGGUUUAGGUUCCGGUUUGUUGUAGAUUAAAUUUGCUUGUUGUAUAUCUUGGCUUGUAAGUCAAACUUGUAAUCUACUUCUUGUACAAGUUGUAAACGCCAUGCUAGGGGCUAUUCCUAGCUAUAUAACACGGAGCCGAGAACCUGAGAAGGUAUCUCAUUACACCAAAGUUUACAGCCAUUACCCAUCGUCAUCAAGUGAGGAGACAAUGAGAACUUGAUAAAUGUUUUUUUGGUCCUUAUAUUUCUUUCGAAAAAGGGGUGGCAGUCAGCUAAUCCUGAUGCCAAGUAGCAUUUCAUAAACAAGAUCACCUUAAUUCCAAAACAUGACUAGUACAAAAUGCAGCAGCCAAAAGACAUUCUACAUCAACAAAAUUUGAUCACUCUUUCCACUAACCUUGGAAGAAGGAAAGGUAGACUCUUGCAGUAUGUUGAUCAUAACACCCAAGGUUCUGUUUCGGAUGAAGCAUGCCCCCUCAAGCUCGGGAGGCUCAGACAUGCUGAAGGUGAGAAGCUUGCUCUCUCUCUUCAUCCAAUCACACAUCAUUUUGGCCUCCUUUGCCAUACCCUUGAAUUGAAGCCAUCCAUCAUAUUGUAGUUAGUGCCAAUGAGUUGGCAAUUUACAGAAAAGAAAUGAAUAUAUGCUUGCUAAGAUUCAGCGCAUUUUGGCAGGAGGCAUGAUGCAGGCAGGCACAUACCACCAUUGCAGCAGAAGAAGCAAUAGACUGGCAUCCUUUUAGGUUUACAAGGCCUAAGGCGCCCAUGCGGAUCACACUGCUCUGCUGGAUCAUGUCAUCAGUAGGCUUAGCACCAUGCUUCAGCAGCUCAUGCGUCAGGUCAGCCUCCUUGGUGAUACACUUGAAAUAAAUGUUUUGCAUUAGUCAAAAUGCCAUAGAAAGAAUCAAACAAAAUACUCUAUAUGCUACCAAAAAAAUCACUGCUGCUUUACUGAAGGUGUAUGUGCUAAGUUGAAUCGAACCAAUCUAAGCAAUCAACACGGGCAACAUGCAAAAUGUAAGCAUGUAAGACCUGGGUUCACAAGGCCACACUUAUAUCGUGCAAUACCUACACCGGAUCAGUUAAUAUUAUGUUUGCACAUUUGAUUAAAAUAGCACAAAAGCUCACUGUCCAAUCCUUCAAGGGCAACAUUUUAUUAACAAGAAGCAGAUCAAGAUAUGCUGGAUUGCUGGUUGACGGACUAUUGCUACAUAUGCUGCUUGUCAAAAUGUUAAAAGAGUCAAUGUUAAUUAGCCAUCAAAUGUGUGAUAUAGGCAUGGAUUUCAACUAUGAUAAAAAGAAGAAUGUGAAACCAAGACUGGAAACUUUAAAACAUGCAAUUAAUUCUUACUGCAUGUCAUAUAGUGUGGUGGUUAUCACAAUUCACACCACUUUGUGCAGCUGCCAAAAUUCAAACAUUGACAUUUUAGAGAUAACAUGAAAGCAAUAAGAUAAAUUGCCCUUUAUCUUGUGACAAUUGAGUAUGCCACAACGAUAACAGGAAAGUGAUAUGAAAAAAGGUUCCAUUACAGUUGAGGUUGAAAGGGUUUUCCUCUGAUUAUAGGUAUUUCUUAACUGCAGCACACAUUCAGUCACUAGAUUGAGAGAGGAAUAGCAUUCCAGUGGUGCGAUACAAAUCAAAAGGUGAGGCACAUACCACAAAAGCAAUGGUUGAAGGAACAAAAAAUUUGUCACUUGUGAUUGAGAGUGCACGCUCCUUGAUAAGGCUACUCUGAAUCGAAGUGUUGGCUGGUAAGAUCUCAUCCAGACGAUGUGUCACAUGAUUCUUCCACUCGGACACAAGUUCCUCCUCCAUCUCGAGACACUACUUGAAAAAAUUGUCAUUUUGCAAUAAGUUGGUGUAAACUGUAUCAGUUAGGAAUUCAAUGGUUUAGUAAAAAGUACCGGGAGGAUUGCUUACAGAUUUGGCAACAGCAGUAGCAAAAACUCGGUCAGCAAGAUCCAAUAGCCAAUCAGGAUUCUGAUUGGCAGCCACUUCUGCAAUGAACUUUAAAGCAUUGCGGUUGUAAUACUCCAAAAGGUAGUUGCUAUAGUCAGACCAUGCAACAGAACUGUUGAGUGGCACUAGCCUUUCCCACCCCCAUACUUUUUCCAGAAAAUCUCCUGAAACUAAACAAUACCGAAAAUAUACAUACAAAGCAUAUUGCAUGAGAAAUACUAAUAGUAACCAGAAUUGUGGUGAUUAGCUUCUCUGUUUUCUUCUCACAUUUUAGAUCUUUGAUCUUUUGCUGAUAUUGAGAAUCCAAUAAAUCUGAAGUGCUGCACCUGGUGAUAGUACAGUGCAAUGCUUAUCAUCACGAAGUAACAAACUAAUUAUCUUAGACCAUAUAUAGCUGCAUCAAGAAAGUAGAAAAGUGUAUUGAACAUCAGUACCGUGAUGGUUGCUGCUUCAUCAGCAGCAAUGCCAUUCCCAUCACCGAAAGGACCAUUUCACUAGCAGAUUCUUCCUUAUCAAUCUUGUUUCCAGAAGCAGCAGCAGAAGAAGACUUUUCCAGUAUGUCAAUCAUGACAUAUAAGGUUUGAAUCCGUAUUAUGCGGCUGUCCUCAAGGUCCUCAGGUAAGACAUCAAGAAGCAUGUCAUUUUCCCUCAUCCACUUGCACAUUGUUUCAGCCUCCUUUGAAACACCCUUAAAUUGAAGCCACCCAUCAAUUUGCAGUGAGUGCCCAUUAGUUAGUGGUAAAAACAAAAGUACAGAUGGAUGGAUGGAUGUUAGUAAGUGGGUUUUUGCAGGCAGGCACAUACCAACAUGGCAGCAGAGGCAGCAACAGAAUGGCACGAAGUGCAGUUCAUAAGGCUCAACACACAAUGCGCAUCUCGCUGCUCUGGUUGAUUAAGUAAUCAUCACUGGGACUAGCGCCAUGCCUCAGCAACUCGCACGUCAGGUCAGCCUCCUUGGCAAUGCACUUGAAACCAUUUUUUUGCAUUAGUACAAAUACCGUGAAAAGUCAAACAAGAUAAUCGAUAAACCACCCAACUCAUCAAGGUGAAUUUGGGUGCCAAUUUCAUCUUUAUAAGUAAGCAGUUCCUCCUAGCUUAGCCUAGUUUUUUACAUGCUACCAACAGAUUCCAACUAUUCUACUGAAGGUGUAUGCACCAACUUGGAUUGUACCGGUCCAAUCUGCCCACAUGGAUAACAAAUGAAAGAAUAAGCAUUGAAAACCUCAGCCCCAUCUACUAACUUGCAGCUACUCCUACGCAGUACACAGUAAACAUAUACUUUGUGAUGUUUCACUUAAAAAAAACAAAUGUCAUAUAGAUCCAUGCUCCAGGGUUUAAGCUUCAAUAAAAGAAAAGUGUGUAGUCAACUGGAAACCUUAAAACAUGACAUUGAUUUUUUUUUUAGGAAUCGACAUUAAUUUGUACUGAGAGUCACAGUGAGGUUGUUGGUGAUUACAACAUGCACCAGGUUGUAGUUUGUACAACUGCCCAAAUUAUUAGGACCCAGUAGUGCUUCAAGAUUGAGAUCAGAUCACUUCCACUAGACCUACUAUAUCUUGUAACUAUAAGCAGUUUUCCAGGAAACAAUGUUAACCAAAUUAUUAGGAUCCAGUAAUGCUUCAAGAUUGAGAUCAGAUCACUUCCACUAGACCUACUAUAUCUUGUAACCAUAAGCAGAAUAAGUUUUCCAGGAAACAAUGUUAACCAUACAUAUAGAUGGGAAUGGUUCAAUUAUAGUUGGGAUAGAAGGGGUUUUUUUAUUUUCCCUCCGAAUAGGAUUUUUUUCCCUUUUCAAUUCAGCUAAUUGUCCAUGCCAGUAAACGUUAGUUGAUUAGGAUGCAGAGAGAGGAUUACAAAGCAUUUAUUGGUCAAAUACAAGAAGUUUUAUUUUGUUUGGUGUGCUAGGGCCAGGUAAAGAACGUACCAACAAAGCGGCAGAGGAAACAUCAGAAAAUUUGCAACCCGCUGCACGAAUGACUGAAUGUGCACUCUCGUGCAUUUAUUGAUUUGCUCGGUAAGAUCAUAUGCAUUUUCGAAUUCAUCCGGAUCUUCCAUUCAGACGCAAGUUGCUCCUCCUUCUUAAGACACUGCUUAAACCAUCAGUGAGUCAGACCAAUGCAGUUUAAGUUAGCAAACAAGACAAGCGUGACAAAAAAAAAGUAAAGGACAGGAGGUCACUUACAAUUUCAGCAAGAGCAACGCCGGUACCCGUAGCAGCUGCAGCACCAGGAACGAGCUGACGAGCAUUGCGUCGGUAAUACUCUUCAAGGUACUUGCUGUAGUCGGACCACGACACACCCUCGAACGGUAGCAGCUUGUCCCAUCCCCAUGCUUUUGCCACAAGAUCUUUCGAAACAAGUAAAUUGUACCCAAAAAGAAAAUAAAAAGAAAUCAUGAGUCGUGGGCGGCAGAAAAGGCAACGAGAAUGGGCGGCACAUAAGAAGAAAGACGGGGAGCAAUAAGAAAAAUUUAGCACAUCAGAGGAAUACAACGAUCAGGUUCUUAAUCUCUGCUAGAUCAUAUCAUACCAUAGUACUUGACAAUCUGUGACCGCGGCAUCGUCUUUGUACCCUCCUCCUUAUCCUGCUCCAUCAACUCUUCGAUGUAAAUUUCAUAUCUCUCCCUCUCCUCAUCUUCCUUUCGCUUGGCCUCCAUCUGCUUCUUCCCGAGACCCUCCAGCUCCAAGGGCCCCGCAGAAGGGGUGCUCCGGCACUCCAUGAUCGCGUCCCGAUCCAAAGUUGCGCCGCCUCCCUCCAUCUUCCCGCUCUCCGACUACGACUACUCCAAUCUGAUCUAGGUUAAAUUAUAGUUUGGGAUGGAAGGGUUCUUUUUUUCUCUCUUAAUUUGCCUCCGAAUAGGACCUGUUUCCCUAUGCAAUUCAGCUAAUUGUCCAUGCCAGCAAACAUUGUGCAGAGAAAGGAUACCAUUUAUUAGGGCCAGGUGAGGAACUUACCAACAAAGCGGCAGAGAAAACAUCAGAAAAUUUGCAGCCCGCUGUGUGGAUGAGCGAAUGUGCAAGCUCGUGUAUCAGGCAACUCAGAAUGAUUGAUCUGCUCGGAAAGAUCAUGUCCAUUUUAUAUCCCAUUCGGAUGUUCCACUCAGGAGCACCUCUGCUUAGGAAAAAAAAGAAGAAGUUGAGACGAACGGCCGGGGAGAACCUCUGCUUAUGUUCCCUGCGCUUGGGCGCCAUCUGCUUCUCCCCGAGGACGUCCAAGCGCCCCGCGCAGAGCGAAGAGAGCGCUGUCGUAUUCAACGACGGCAGAUGGAAUGCCGGCAAUGUGAAAAUGCCUCGAGUCGCAGAUCAGUCCAGCGUCCGCCGCCAAAAUUGCUCCCAAAUCACUCGAUUGCACCGCCGCGGCGGCACUGCGCCGUCGUCAUGCACGGCCGAGGAACCGAGAGGUGACUGAGAGUCUACCGUAAAAACCCAAAGGAACCAUCAGUUUUCCUGUCGAAUCGGAAGAUCUGACACUGCGCUUCUUCCGUCUAGGGCGGAGGAUUGGAACGGCAGCGGCGGCGACGGACGGCGGGAGGAGCGACGGCAGUGGAGCUGGAGCCAAUCCAUUCCAGGGAUCUUUAUGCAAAAGUUUGGAUCGCGAAAACCAGGGGGUAUUUUAAAAAUACCAGUGGUCCUUUUAUAAAUAAUCGGAUCGCGAUUAUCAACCACGAUCCAUAUAAGAAGGUUUUAUAUAAAUAUUUGGAUCGCGGACAUUUUGUAAAAUUGCGGGGUGUCUUGGGCCAAACUAGGCGAGGCCGCGCCGGCGGCCUCCUCCCCCGCCAUUGGGCUUCACACGCGAGCCUCCGUCCACUCACGGUGCCACACGAGGCGUCGGCCCCCGCGCACUGCAGGUCACGGCCCCAGCUUCUCUAGGUAACGAUGAAGCUACAAGAAGAUGAGAUAAGAUGCUGCAUUUACAAACCUGAAGUAUGACCAAUCGCGCAGUUUUAGAGCUUGGCACUACAGACGACUUAAGCAAAUAAUCAAUACCUCUAAAUCGUUCCUUGCUUUUUUUCAGAGGAAAACAUUCAUUAAGGUAGAAGGGGAAUGGGACACAAGUAAAAGGCACAAAAACAGUUAUUGUUUCCCCUGGUUUACCAACUCAACCAUGUUCUGUCAGUCUAUCAGAGGUUGCGAGUGUGUCCAAAAGACGUUGAUUAGUUUACAAAAGAUAGGGUUGUAUAAUACCCAGCAAACCCAUUCAGUUUACAAAUCGUGUUCAAAGAAAAAAGGUGCUCUGAACUAAAUAGACGAGCAAAUUUUGUUAUCAACAACCAACAUAAAUAAUUCUCGCAAAAUGGAGCAAACACAAGACAAGCACAUUGUCAUAUAGAUCCCCAUGGAAGACAAAUUUCUGUUCACUACAAAACUGCUGAGUGACCAAACAGAAAAGACCAUUCAAGUCCAACAGCACUCCUAGUUGCAAUAGAUACUGAGAUCAUACAGAAGUCUUAACACAUUCCAACAAGCUCUCAAACGAUGGCAUUUGCUGCACUAGCAAUCCUAGGCCAAAGAUCAGCACACUCCUUACCAAUGGGUCCAGUGAUUGCAGAGCCUGCAAAGUAGCAAUUGUUACGUUAAAUGCCAGGUAGCAUUAGCCAGAUGAUGAUGCUGAAAAGAGAUAGUUAAUUCUUACCUUUCAUCUCACCCUUAGGAUUCACAAUAACUCCAGCAUUAUCUGAAAAUAUAAAGAUAGCAUCACAAAUUAAUCACUGGAAUAAAGGCAGAGACUAGACAGUUCAAACUAGUCAAAAUAUAGAAAGUAAAACUAGGCAACAAUGAAUGAAGAAAUAUAUGUCUCAUGGCCAGUCCCAAAGUUUCAUAGCAGCGAUGCCACUACCCAAGGCAAUGGAAUAUGAGACCACUUUCAAAUGGAGGAAGACCUCAAAGAUGAAAACCCUUGAAGGUGAACCUCUACAAAUAAAAACUUAAUCUCUGACGUUUGCUAUGGAAUAUGCAAACAUGUAAGGUUUGCUCCAAAAAAAGCUGAAGAACCUCGGAGCCCUUCCGUCACUAAUGGAAAAUAUUACAAAAGUAGCAUAAAAACUUCUACAACUACAUGGCACAAAUAACAAAUACCAGUGCAAUGAAAGAACACAUGACAAAAUGUUUGUCUCAUGGCCAGUCCCAAUGUUUCAUUGCGGCGACGCCGCUACCAAGGGCAAUGGAAUAUGAGACCGCCUUCAAAUGGAGAAAUUCCAGAAGGAAAAUCUCAACAUCAAAAGGCUUACUUUAUGACGUUAGCUUGGAAAUAUGCAAACAUGUGUGGUUUGCUCCACAAGAAAGCUGAAGGACAUGGACGCCCUUCCGUCAAACAUUAAAUUGUUGUCACUGUCAAUGAAAAUAAUGAGACAGUCUCCAAUGCAUUCAUCUGCUUUGGAAAACAUUCAACAGCCCCAAAAAAAACAGAACAAGAUUGCAACCAUGGCUGCAUCAUAAACAAUGGAGCAAUAACAGUACCAAAAUGGUUUGCAAGCAAUUGAAUAGCAGCAACGCCACUACCCAAGGCAAUGGAAUAUGAGACCACUUUCAAAUGGAGGAAGACCUCACAGAUGAAAACCCUUGAAGGUGAACCUCUACAAAUAAAAACUUAAUCUCUGACGACUGCUAUGGAAUAUGCAAACAUGUAAGGUUUGCUCCAAAAAAAGCUAAGGAACAUCGGAGAGGGAAAAUAUUACAAAAGUAGCAUAAAAACUUCUACAACUACAUGGCACAAAUAACAAAUACCAGUGCAAUGAAAGAACACAUGACAAAAUGUUUGUCUCAUGGCCAGUCCCAAUGUUUCAUUGCGGCGACGCAGCUACCAAGGGCAAUGGAAUAUGAGACCACCUUCAAAUGGAGAAAUUCCAGAAGGAAAAUCUCAACAUCAAAAGGCUUAGUUUAUGACGUUAGCUUGAGAAUAUGCAAACAUGUGUGGUUUGCUCCACAAGAAAGCUGAAGGACAUGGACGCCCUUCCGUCAAACUUUAAAUUGUUGUCACUGUCUAUGAAAAUAAUGAGACAGUCUCCAAUGCAUUCAU
rnacentral:lncRNA from 1 species